CCUACGGGAGGCAGCAGUAAGGAAUAUUGGUCAAUGGACGCAAGUCUGAACCAGCCAUGCCGCGUGCAGGAUGACGGCCCUCUGGGUUGUAAACUGCUUUUGUACGGGAAGAAACCUCUCUACGUGUAGAGAGCUGACGGUACCGUAAGAAUAAGGACCGGCUAACUUCGUGCCAGCAGCCGCGGUAAUACGAAGGGUCCAAGCGUUAUCCGGAUUUAUUGGGUUUAAAGGGUGCGUAGGCGGCUUAUUAAGUCAGUGGUGAAAGACUUCAGCUUAACUGAAGAACUGCCAUUGAUACUGAUGAGCUUGAAUAUACUUGAGGUGGGCGGAAUGUGUCAUGUAGCGGUGAAAUGCUUAGAUAUGACACAGAACACCGAUUGCGAAGGCAGCUCGCUAAAGUAUGAUUGACGCUGAGGCACGAAAGCGUGGGGAGCAAACAGGAUUAGAUACCCUGGUAGUCCACGCCCUAAACGUUGAUAACUCGAUGUGUGCGAUAUACAGUACGCGUCCAAGCGAAAGCAUUAAGUUAUCCACCUGGGAAGUACGGCCGCAAGAUUGAAACUUAAAUGAAAUUGACGG
rnacentral:rRNA from 1 species